GUGAAAUGAGAAGCAAAAGGUUUUGACUAUUGUGGGUAAGGGAGCAAAUAAAUUAAAGUGGUGUUGUCCACAUUUUCAUGCCCGUGCUUUGUGGACUUGAAAUGGUCAGUAUCUACAAAAGGAGGAGGGUGAAGACCUUAAUUUAUUGUGGAUUUGUCCUUUCUAGCCAGCUGCAACCCAUCAAAGCACUGGCACCUGAAUUCUAUAUCUAGUACGUAGUACCAAAUUAAGCUAAGCCUUUCAAGACUAGAUAUAAAUAAAUAAAGUAAAACCAAAGCAUUAUUUCAGAACAAUAUGAAAUUAAUGUGAACAGCACCAUACAAGAGCAUGCCUACAUGCACCCUGGUUACAUUCAUUUGUCCCCAGUCCCCACUUCUCCAUCUUUGGGAUUUAAUUUGGCGUUUUUAAAGCCUUUUUUGUCUUUGUUGUCUGAGACUGCAAUCCAGGGAAGCUUUUAUUGGUAGGGGGGCCUUAUGGAAGAGAGGGGAUAUAAGCUGAGAAAGAUCAUGAAGUAGGUUUGGAAAGCUAAGUACUGACCAGCUGAACAUUUAAACCCAAAUUAUCAUGUCGCUUCAGGAAAAAGGAAUUUGGUGUUAGUUUUGGGAGCUCCCAGGUGCUAGAAAGAAUAAGGAUCGCCGUCUGCCUAAGUAUGCUUUUAACUGAAUGUGAGGCUUUUUGAUUUAUAACUAGUGAUUUCUUGUGUUUAAAAUUCUGCAAUGGUAAGAAAUUAGUUCGUGGAGUAAAUUUAUAAUGAGCUAAUUGAUUAUGUUCUGAAUUUUGUAUCUAGACAAAUGGUAUCAAAUAUUGAAGUUCAUUCUAA